UUUUCCGCAAUGGGCGAAAGCCUGACGGAGCAAUGCCGCGUGGAGGUAGAAGGCCCACGGGUCGUGAACUUCUUUUCUCGGAGAAGAAGCAAUGACGGUAUCUGAGGAAUAAGCAUCGGCUAACUCUGUGCCAGCAGCCGCGGUAAGACAGAGGA
rnacentral:rRNA from 1 species